ensembl:lncRNA
AAAGUGAAGUUGCUCAGUCGUGUACUCCUCUUUGCGACCCCAUGGAUGUAGCCUUCAAGGUUCCUUCAUCCAUGGAAUUUUACAGGCAAGAGUACUGGAGUGGAUUGCCAUUUCCUUCUCCAGGGAAUCUUCCUGACCCAGGGACUGAACCUGGGUCUCCUGCAUUGCAAACAGAAUGAGAAUUGGAUUAAGAUCUUUAGAAGCUCUCAGCACUGAAAAGAUUGUGUAUCGGAUCUUCAAGAAAGAAAGCAUGGAGGUGACUUGGGCAAAUCAAGCAAGUUGGCAUUGUGGAUGAUUACAGUUAUGAUCCUCAAGAUAAUUCUUAAAAAUGGGACCUUUUUGCACUCAGAUGAAACUGGAUAAUUGCAGCAAACCAAUGUUAAAACCUGUCAUGGCAGUAAGACAUCCUUGCAGACCAGGGAACACAGUAAGUAGACUGAAACAUAUUGAGAUAAUAUUGUAGUAUUGAAUUACACCAGAGAUAAUAGCAUUGAUUCAUCCCAGAAGGAUAUUGUAAAUAAUGAACAAUUAAUUGUUGCAGAAACUUUGAAAAUAAAUCGAUGAAAAUCAAGAAGACAGAUCUGGGUGUCUCAAGGAAUCUGUUGGUUUUUUUUUUAGAAAGCUCAGCUGAGUCCUCUGUGGUCAGGGUACAUGAUGUAUUUGCAGUUCUGUCUGCUAGGAGCUUUGAAAAAAAUUGUGGUACUGUUGUGACCUGGGUGUGGACUCUUCUGAAGUCUCUAUGCUUUCUUCUUUGCUCAUUGUUGUUCAGUUGC